ensembl:lncRNA
UACAAAUUGCAUACAAAGUUUAUUCUCAUUGACUUUCUUCCAAAUGUGAUAUCAUUGAAGGUUAAAUUCAUUUUAAGUUCAUUCAAAUUUACAGUAAUUUUCAAAUGUCACAUAGGCCACUUUGCAUAUCUGCAUUUUUCUGCAUUUAUUUUAGGGGAAUUUAAAUACAGUAAAGUUUGUUACAUGGGCCUUGAGAGUAAUAAACUCUUAUUGGUACCUUAACGCAUCAUUAAAUUAAACCAAAUUAUUCAGUGAACUUGAAUAAUCACAUUAGAGGCAUUCUGUUUAAAAGUGCAGAUUUCAUAUGGGCCUGCCGAUUUUCAUUUUGCAUGGAGGUUUAGUCAAAAUAGCUUAUAUUCUGUACAAAUCAUAUUCCAGUUUGUGUAAGAGAGUUUAUUUUCUGUGACGCAGACUAAUUUAACAUAGGGUGACUGGGAAAGAAGCUUAUUUACCAGUUGCAGUCUCCUCUCCAAUGAGUAAGUCAGAUGUCAAUAAGUCAAAAUAGUAGCUACACACCUUACACACAAUUUUGUGCGUUUUUUCUGCUCUGGAAGUGCACGGUCCAUUACAGCACAUUUUAACGGGUUGUAAAACCACACCAGUAGAUUGUGUUCAGAAAGAAGGGAGGAGCUGACUGAGGAAUUGACAAAAAAUAAAAAAUAACCGAACAAACAAAGGCACUAGCCACAAAUAAAUACCACAGAUAGAAAACAAAAACACAGUAUUUGAUUUUUAGGUAAAUUAUACUUACAAACAUAAAUACUAGACUAUUAAAACUAGAUUACAAGAAACUGACUUAAGAGGAAUACAGGGAGACAUCAUACCAUCACUAAACGUAAAGAGCUAUGGAAAUGAAUUUUAAAAAAUAAAAGAGAGGAGAACUGAUAUUAUCUCUCUUUCCAAACACACACAUACAGCUGUCAUCUCGUUGCAACAGACUGGGUCCACCGCUCUUUACCAGCCUUUCUUACACACAAACAUAUUCACAGAGAAUGUACAAUGUGGAGCUCCCGCACUUGCUGCUGACGGACAGGGGUCUCUGUUGUAGAGGAGGCAGAGAAACAGACAAAAGAUUGAUGCUUAUUUUAUAUACUGUACGUAAGUGACAAGUGAAGAAAUAGUCCUUUAAUUGACUGUGGGCUGUAUCUCACCAUCGCUCAGGUGAGUCCUUUGUGUCCACUGUGAGGAUAUGUCCACCCAAUUGUUUGGUGUCUGCCGCCUCCUCUUCUUCUCCUAUAGGAAUUAUCUUCUCCUCACUCUCUGGUGAAAAGCUGUCAGUGUCUGGGUCAUACUCGUAAGAAUAGUAGGACACCUCAGCUACAGAGCCUGGCUCCUCCCCUCCUAUUAAAUAAAUCAUUAUAGGUUCCUGUUCUGGUUCUUCUCCUGUAGCAUGUUCUCGCUCUUCUACAGCCACCUCCACUGU